rnacentral:lncRNA from 1 species
UCGGUGAUCCAUCCUCAAACAAUCAAACUCUUCACGGAAUUACCAAGUGGAAGCUUGCAAAACCAUAACCUUGUAUACAAUAUGCCAUGUGGAUUCGAGUUGAUGAUGAUGCUAUGACGAAUCUAGUAUGGACGACUUAGAAACACGCUUGAUAUACUAGAUUUGAUUAUUAUGUUAUUUUAAACUUUGUCAUAUUUGUCUUUUCGUUGUUGUAAUUUGAAUUUCUUGUAUUGUACUUGACAAUUUU